AGUUGACCUGAGAUGAAACUUGCUAAGGCCUCCUAAGACGAUGUUGCUGGAUGUCCCCUGCUGACCCCACAGACUGGCUCCUCUGGUGUCCGCUGACUUGGCCUGGUGAGAAGGGCAGGGCCAGGCCCUUCCCUGUCUCGACCUGCAUUCCCACCCAACACAGCAAGCUAUUUUGAAAAAACUUCUCUAUCAGUUCUUGUGAGUUAUUUGUCUAAUAAACAACAUUGUGAAAAUGAAGCAUUCAUGUAUUUGUAUAUUGACAAGAGAUAACCAAUUCCCUCAACAAUUUUACAAUUUCAAAUUAGGAUAACAUCCUUUUUUGGAGCUCUUCAAACAUCUUAGGGAACACACGCACAUAUUU
rnacentral:lncRNA from 1 species